AAGAAAAGAGCCUGUCAAGCUAGCCAAGGUGACUGCCUGCGACCCAGCAAGGAUCUAUUAAUAAUAAAGUUAUGAUCAGAAAAAACAUAUUGAAAAACCUCUUGGAAGGAGGCAGGCAAGUCAUCCUUGGCUACCAAACAAGGCUCUUUAUC
rfam:Morus notabilis contig10366, whole genome shotgun sequence.